AUUGAACGCUGGCGGCAGGCCUAACACAUGCAAGUCGAACGGUAGCACAGAGAGCUUGCUCUCGGGUGACGAGUGGCGGACGGGUGAGUAAUGUCUGGGAAACUGCCCGAUGGAGGGGGAUAACUACUGGAAACGGUAGCUAAUACCGCGUAACGUCGCAAGACCAAAGUGGGGGACCUUCGGGCCUCACACCAUCGGAUGUGCCCAGAUGGGAUUAGCUAGUAGGUGGGGUAAUGGCUCACCUAGGCGACGAUCCCUAGCUGGUCUGAGAGGAUGACCAGCCACACUGGAACUGAGACACGGUCCAGACUCCUACGGGAGGCAGCAGUGGGGAAUAUUGCACAAUGGGCGCAAGCCUGAUGCAGCCAUGCCGCGUGUAUGAAGAAGGCCUUCGGGUUGUAAAGUACUUUCAGCGGGGAGGAAGGCGGUGAAGUUAAUAACUUCACCGAUUGACGUUACCCGCAGAAGAAGCCCCGGCUAACUCCGUGCCAGCCGCCGCCGUAAAAC
rnacentral:rRNA from 1 species